ACAUGCAAUUCCAACGGUAACAGGCCUUCGGGCGCUGACGAGUGGCGAACGGGUGAGUAAUGCAUCGGAACGUGCCCAGUNNUGGGGGAUAACUACUCGAAAGAGUGGCUGAUACCGCAUACGAUCUGCGGAUGAAAGCGGGGGACCUUCGGGCCUCGCGCGAUUGGAGCGGCCGAUGUCAGAUUAGGUAGUUGGUGGGGUAAAGGCUCACCAAGCCAACGAUCUGUAGCUGGUCUGAGAGGACGACCAGCCACACUGGGACUGAGACACGGCCCAGACUCCUACGGGAGGCAGCAGUGGGGAAUUUUGGACAAUGGGCGCAAGCCUGAUCCAGCAAUGCCGCGUGCAGGAAGAAGGCCUUCGGGUUGUAAACUGCUUUUGUACGGAACGAAACGGUCCUGGCUAAUAUCCGGGGCUAAUGACGGUACCGUAAGAAUAAGCACCGGCUAACUACGUGCCAGCAGCCGCGGUAAUACGUAGGGUGCGAGCGUUAAUCGGAAUUACUGGGCGUUAAAGCGUGCGCAGGCGGUGCUGUAAAACAGGCGUGAAAUCCCCGGGCUCAACCUGGGAAUUGCGCUUGUGACUUGCAUUGCUGGAGUGCGGCANAAGGGGGAUGGAAUUCCGCGUUGUAGCAGUGAAAAUGCGUUANAUUUGCGGAGGAACACCGAUNGCGAAGGCAAUCCCUGGGNCUUGCACUGGACCCUCAUUCACNAAAGCGUNGGGAACAACAGAUUAAUACCUGGUAUCCCNCCUAACAAUUCAACUGGUUGUNGGAAUUACUUUC
rnacentral:rRNA from 1 species